CAAAUUUGCAGAGUGGUGUGCAGAAGACGUGUUGAAGCAUCAGCAGCUACGUUUAUAAAAAAUAUAUAUUUUAAUAUAUAAAUUAUUUAUUUUUAGCCAUUUAAAUUUUUUAAAUUUUUCAUUAUUUGACUCCGUCAUUGGAUGAUGAAGGUCUUCAACAUGCUGGAUGGAAGGGCAAGGGACAGUCUGACAAAACAUCGUUACAAAUGUCUCGAUUCAGACGAGCAGAAACUUAUAAUAGCAAAACAUGCAGUCGUCGUAGCAGCAGUAAUUUGAAAGUGGCCAAAAAAACCCCAGCAGUUACUUGAAAGCAACUUUUGAAGAUAUCUGCGGCAGCAGUAAAGGCGACUCUGCAUAAUUUUUGGCAUUCUCUUUUUUCACCGUUUUUUGUCAAGCAAAAAACUGCAAUAUCUUUUUUACCUCGCGGUUCUGUUAAGCUGUAAAAUACGUCUCAUUAUACAUUUAAUAAAGAUUAAAUUGGUGGUUGAAUAAAUAACCCCAUAGUUCGUGACCCCGAUAGGAGAUUAAAACUACCAACGCAUCAUUGACAUUAACUAAACCAGGAUGCCACCACGAUUAGCAGAUGAGCAGAAAACUGAACACGGUGAUGAAAGUGGAGAUCCAAAGGCCACCGCGGCAAACGAGCACCAACAGGUAGUACCUCAAACACAUGUCGGUGCAAUUGGUUCGCUCAAACUACCGCGUUUCAUGGCAGCAGAUCCCGAACUGUGGAUCACACAAAUCGAUGGACUUCUGCUCGUUAACCGCACAACUUCAGAUGUUUCGAAAUUCUACAACGUGAUCGCUGCCUUGGACACCGACACCUUACGCCAAGUUUCUGACAUCGCCAAAAAUCCGCCGUGAUCAGGGAAGUAUGACAAGCUUAAAGAGGAACUAAUAACUUGCUUCGGCAUCUCUAAGGAAAAAUGCCUCCUGAAACUACUCUCCGGCACGGAUCUUAGUAGCGGCCAAAGACCUAGCCAGCUCCUACGAUAAAUGCAGGAUCUUGCGAGCUCAACAAUGCAUCGCGAUGCACUAACAAACUUAUGGCUCCAAAGUAUGCCCGACAACGUCAUGUGUAUAUUAUUGUCAUGCAAAUCAACAGAUCCGGAGGAUAUAGCGAAAGUAGCAGACAAAAUAGUCGACAAUACACCACCAAGCGUAUACGAAUUUGACUCUUCUGCAAACUCCGCAACUUACGACGUAACCAACAAACACAAACCGCAAAAGUUCGAAGCAAGAGUCACGGCCUUGGAGGAAUCGAUGAAUCAAAUUGCUUUAAAACUCGGUGAGCUUUCCACUAACAUAAAUUGCGAAACAUUAUUAUUAUACCAUAACGCACAAUCUUCACGUUUCGCUGGCCAAUCGACUUCCAGGCGCCCGAACAACCAAAAAGUCUGUAAAUACCACAUUCGCUUCGGCAAAGCAGCCUUCAAAUAUACACCACCAUGUCAGUUCAUAAAUACGACAAACUCCAAAAGUGCGGGAAACUAGAGUCGCUGCCAUCUGUUCAUGCAGCAGGCGGCAGCAUCAACAAUGUCUGCACCUCCGACACCCACUAAUACGGUUUCGAUAGAAUCAACAGAAUAAAAGUCCUUGUUGACUCCGGAUCUGUCGUUUCCACGAUUCUACAAACGAUGCUAAAGUGGAAAAGACAACCAGCACCCAGAAGCAUACAACUUUUCGCAGCAAAGAACACCGCUAUUUUCAGUUACGGCGAAAAGUGUUUAACUGUAGACAUCGGCACUAAACAAAAAUUUAAGAAGAACUUUUUAAUCUCAAAUGUGAAAUUUCCAAUAUUGGGCGCAGACUUUCUGUCAAAGUUCUGCUUGCUUGUCGAUUUAAAGGUAAAGAAGCUCUUGUCGUCAGUAAGUGCAAUGCACUCCCAAGCGGAAACGCAGUCGCCUGAAAUUAUGCAACAAGCAAACAAUGAUACAGUAGCUUCCAUAAAAAUUAGUACCGAAUUACAACAUAUUAUUAAGCACUACUCGAGUGCAAAAGAGUACCAACUACGUUUGGAAACAACUGUGUCCCAUCGUAUGGUGACAAACUGCCAACCUAUAUCCGAAAGAGUUAGAAGGUACACCGGCAACAAACUAGAAGCCAUAAAAAGUCAAUUUCAAAAAUUAUUGUCGCAAGGCAUUGUCAGGCCAUCUAGCAGUCCCUGGGCCAGCCCAAUUCACCUAGUAAAAAAGAAAACUGGUGAAUGGAGAGCUUGCGGGGACUAUCGCAAGUUAAAUGCAAAUACCUUACCUGACAGAUACCCGACUCCACACUUAGACGACAUCAGCGAAAAACUUCAUGGCAAAAAGAUAUUCUCCAAAACUUACAUAAACCCCGCGUAGUAUAACAUACCAAUGCAUUCUGAAGAUAUGUGCAAAACUGCUGUUUGCACGCCGAUAGGACUUUCCGAAUUCACGGUAAUGCCGUUUGGGUUAAAAAACGCGUCCCAAACAUUCCAGCGCUAUAUGGAUUCGAUAUUCAGAAACAUUGAUUUCGUUUUUUGCUAUUUAGACGACAUAUUGAUUAUGUCAGAGAAUCACGAUGAUCACAAGUCUCAUUAACGCCAAGUCCUACAAUUGCUGAAACAUGCAUCUCUGCCGGUCAACUCCCACAAAUGCGAGUUCGGAGCUCAGCAAACAACAUUCCUCGGCUAUCGAAUCUCACCACAAGGAUUAGAACCGCCACUAGAUAGUGUUGAGGCAAUAGUUCGUUACCCAAAACCAAACACCAUAUCUGACUAAAGGCGAUUUCUCGGAAUCAUCAACUUCUACCGUAAAUGCAUUCCGAACGCUGCGCAGACUCAGGCGCCACUUAACAGUCUCUUCACGACAUCAAAAAAAACUAUAAGAAACCGAUAAAAUGGACAAUAAAACUGGUUAAAGCGUUUGACGAAUGCAAAGCGAGCAUACUCAACGCCACGCGACUAGCAUUUCUGGCGAAUAAGGCUCGAUUAUGCUUAGUGACUUACGCGUCGAACCCCGCCGUUGGUGCGCACUUAGACCAGUUUAGUAAUCAGCACUGGAGUCCACUAGCGUUCUUCUCGGUAAAGCUAAAGCCGCCGCAACUACACUACAGUGCUUACGAUAGAGAGCUGCUGGCGCUUUAUUUAAAGAUAAAACACUUUAGAAACAUUCUCGAUGGGAGAGACUUUGUUAUUAAAACCGACCACAAGCCCCUCACUUUCGUAUUCCGUCAGAGGCUCGAUAAGGCGUCACCCCGCCAAAUACGCCACUUGAACUUCAUUGCGAAGUUCUCAACAGAAAUAAUUCAUGUGCCAGGCUCAGAAAACUCAGUUGCAGACGCUUUGUCGUGUAUAAAUGCUAUAAACUCAUCGGUAAUAGUCACAUACAAAGAAAUUCAAAGAUCUCAAGAAGAAGACAACGAACUCUCAAACAUCAACCAGCUAACCUCGCUACGUCUAGAAAAAUGAUUCCACAUGAGGGAAUCGAGAUUUAUUCCGACACAUCCACUUCCAAGAAUCGUCCUUAUAUCCCGCAACCGCUGUGAAAAAAUAUAUUUAACCUGGUUCACAACUUGUCACAGGUGUCAAGUCCACGUUGAAACAAAUCUCUCAACGCUACGUGUAACCUUCGGUCAGGAAAGACAUAUCAGAAUGGGUUCGCUCGUGCACCAGUUGCCAACGAGCAAAAGUCACAAGGCAUAACCAGCUUACUCCGAAACACUUCGACGAAGUUGAUCAGCACUUUGAUCAUGUGCAUAUUGACAUACGCUACCAGAAGAUCAAGGAUUUCGAUACUGCUUGACUAUGGUCGACCGUUUUACAAGAUGGCCCGAAGUGGCACCCCUGAAAGACAUGACAGCCGAUACAGUCGCAAAGCAGUUUUACACGUCUUGGGUCGCAAGAUUUGGUUCGCCGAAGGUGAUUACAACAGACCAAGGAACGCAGUUCGAGUCAGCUCUUUUUCAAGCUUUAGCUAGACUAAUUGGCGCUCGAAAAAUACAUACGACUCCUUACCACCCAAGCUCAAAUGGUAUCAUUGAGCGUUUUGACCGCUCAUUAAAAGCCUCAUUAAUGUGCAAUCGCCUACAGUCAUGGGUCGACCUGCUGCCGUCCGUAUUACUAGGUCUCCGUGUGUCAUACAAGGAAGACUUGGAUGCCUCUGCUGCUGAAAUGUUAUACGGCACAACAUUGCGGUUGCCAGGAGAAUUCAUCACCAGCAGCCAAGAACAAGCACACACGUCACAGUUCUUACCCAAAAUUCGACAAUACACGCAACAACUACGUCCGGUUCCCGCAGCACAUCACAGCAACAAAAAAAAUGUUUUUCACAAAGACAUUUACUCAUGCAGUUACGUUUUCCUUCGUAGUGACCACAUUAAAAAACCACUCGAACCUCCGUACACAGGACCACAUAGAGUAGUAAAACGUAUAAGCGAUCGCAUGUUCAACAUCGAAAUCAACGGAAAGCCUCAAACCAUUUCAAUCGAGAGGCUCAAGCCUGCGUUCAUGGAGAGAACUCACCCAACCAACAAUGGUUCUAAGGAGUUAUACUCGCAAGUCAUCACCUUGCGAUCAACAUAUAAAUAGUGAGGCAUCACUAGGGGCAGGGUAGCUGUGGCAGCACUAAAGGCAACUCUGCAUAAUUUUUGACAUCCUUCCAGUAUCUUUUUUACCACGCGGUUCU